CACCCCACUCAGGACUCCGGCGUACGGGCCUUGACCCAACACCGUUACAUCAUGCUGACGAAAUACAGCAUCCAAAAUUAUUUGGGGGACUUAACUGCCUGCUGGGAGAGACCCACAGAAAUCAGGACAUCCCGUGACUUCCUGAAUGAGUGGCAACAUCAGUGGAGUUAGCCAGGACCUCCUGCAAACAAAUUCUGGAUAGCCCUUUUCCCCUUCACUCCUCAACAACCCUCUUCAAAACAGUCAAUGCCAACCACCCGGAACUACUACACAACGUUACAGUAACAUACCAGUAGAGAUGUGUAAUCGAUGGGGAAAAACCUGAUUCAACUUUACAACCUCAGCCAGAUUGUUCCACAUGAUCAUAUCACUAACGUUUAUCAAUUCAUAUAUAAAUCAGAUCUUCAGCAUUCAUUAGAAAUGGGGCCUGGAUUAAGCCCUCAGCAUCACCGCCCAAACAGCACAAACUUUGGGGAAGUUUGGAUUCAAAUCAGAAGUUCCUGGUUGGCGGCAUCUCUUUGAAAGACUGGGCAAAAACUCCACAUCCAAACACCCUGAACAGUAGGAAAGUUUAGAUCCACUCCACACUUUACAGCUGAGCUCCACCUCUGCUACUGAUCUGUUUGUAUAUAUGCCAGAGGUAACGGGGUCAGCAGUCCCUUUCACGACUGCUCUGUCCAUGCCCUUGCUAAGGGAGACCUUGUGUGGGGACAAUAAGUAGCACAAGCUCCAUCUGGUUAGUCUGGAAGGUAGACAGCCAGAGAGAACCACGUGGUCUUGUCUGCGUCCAGGAGCCAGGCUAAAAUAUCCCCUUCAUAGUCAUUACAAUGGAAUCCUAGCUCAUCACUGGAUGGUACACUGCCCCAUUAAUAACACUGCAUUGAUUCAUAAGGGCUGGACAAACCAUUGAACACACGCAGGAAAGAACAAAGACCUCACCCGAAAUGGAAACGUUUUGGAGGCUCGAAUGAGUUUCAUUACCUCUUUGGGUGUUUGUUUUCUACAGUAUUCCCGGUGCUUCAGCACUUGCUAACGUUGACCAGGGCCAGACGUGGAAAUGCCCAAACGCCAUGAGAAAAGGCUGUUCUUGUGAGGAUUCCAGCCUAGUGAGCAAACACUGGAAAUCCCAUGAGAAAGCCGGUUCUCACAAAACCCCAGCCCAAGAGCUUCGGAUAAGCAGCUGAGUCUCUCAUCUGUGCUCACUUCCUCGCUUGUAUGUGGACAUUAAAGAUCUCAUAGCCCAUCUCCAAAGCGUAGGGCUUUGCCUUGCUAUCCUUGACCACAUGCCCCCUUCUCCCCACUGUUAUGGAGUAUGCUACCUGCUGGUGGCUACAUUUCAGCAGAGCUAUUUGUAUGUGACGUGGCGUUUAGGUUCCUUGGGCAGGUUAUUUUGGUUGAACAUUUGCAGAAUGGGGUCUAGGGCAAAUAUUUGAGCUUAGCCUUCAGAUGUUUACCCCUUUUCCCAACAUCCUGACUAUAAACAACCAAAACUAGUUCUGAAAAAUACUUUGACAGUGUCCUUGCAGGCUUAGCAGGGUAAUGAAUAGUCACUGGAUAGGAUAUUAGUAACCAUUCAUAUAUAUUUGGCUACGAUUCUCAAAAGAACCUAAUGGAAUUGUGUGUCUAAAUCUCAUUGACUUUCCCCUUUGCAUCUCACCUCCCUUUGGUAGUAAAACGAUUCUUUUCGGGAAGGAUUUUUCAUUGCAAUGAGGUUUCUUUUGCCAGAAACAUUUGAGGGGGGGUCGAAGAAGGGGAGCAACCAUAGUGAAAGGGCUGCAUUUGCAGAUCCAUUUGGGAUGACAUCAAACUUCAGCUGGGUUCUGCUCGCCUGCUGAAUUAUAGCCUUCUUAGACUCAUGCAGUGCCGCUCUACCGACAAAGGCCUAAGCAUGGGCCACCGCAUGGGACAGAGAAUAUGAGACACAAGAGCAUCAUUAGUGAAGCAAAAUGGUGUGGGACUGGGGUACAAUUCUUUUCCUGUGCUGGCCACUUCAGCAAGGCUCAGCAUUCAGCUCUCAGGAAUACACCACUACUGGACCUGAUGGGAGAUUUAUGAGUGAUGGAGCUAAAUUUGGCUCUGAAAUAAAUGAGAGUUGAGAGGGCAGCAAGGGGCUCGCAAAUCCGCUGAGCUAUUCAAAAGAAAGCAACAAGCAGACUCCCCACCGGGCACUGGCCCCCGCACUUCCCAUGCAGACUCCAGCGGUGGAAUCCGGGCCCUCCGGAAAUCAAUGGGUGUGGUGCCAGCUGAUUUCACUGCGGCCAAGAAUUCACCUCUGGAGAGUCUGCUUAGCCAAUAAUCAUCUCAGGAAAGAGCUGAUUUCCAGGGGGCUAAUCUGCAAUCACAGACUCACUGUCCAGUACUGAGUGAGACCCGGGCUGGGGAGCUCAAAGGAGGGCAGAUCUAGGGAAAUUAUCCCUCCACUGCAAGAUAACGAAUAUUCAUUAGUAAAUGGGGCAUAAACAGAGAUUAUACAAACUAAGGAACAGGUUAAGCCCUAGCUCCAACCCUGGUUUAUGGGCAGUGUAUAGCCUGUCUGCUUGAGCUGAUGAAAGGAAGGAACUGAGCCUCAAUUCCCCUCACAUUGCUCUGAAGGGAAGUUGCUUUCCAGCAUGCAUCUUACAGCCUCCAUCACACUGGCUCAGCCCUGCUGACUGGCACAUUGGCGGGUGGGGCGGGGCACGGCUGGGCCCAUUCCCCACCCAUCUCCCUCCCCUCUCUGCCCAUCUUCUCAGGCGGGCGGGGUGCAGAGCCCUUCGUCUCUCUACCAUGCCUGCAGUUGUGCUCUGG